rnacentral:rRNA from 1 species
GAUGAACGCUGGCGGCGUGCCUAACACAUUCAAGUCGAACGGAGUUAUGGAGUAGCUUGCUACGAAAUAACUUAGUGGCGGACUGGUGAGUAAUGCAUGAGCAACCUGCCUUAAAGAGGGGGAUAACACAGAGAAAUUUGUGCUAAUACCGCAUGUUUUAUACUGAGGGCAUCCUCGGUAUAAUAAAGGAGCAAUCCGCUUUAAGAUGGGCUCAUGUCUGAUUAGAUAGUUGGUGAGGUAACGGCUCACCAAGUCUACGAUCAGUAGCCGGACUGGGAGGUUGAUCGGCCACAUUGGAACUGCGAUACGGCCCAGACUCCUACGGGAGGCAGCAGUGGGGAAUAUUGGGCAAUGGGCGCAAGCCUGACCCAGCAACGCCGCGUGAAGGAAGAAGGCCUUCGGGUUGUAAACUUCUUUUGGCAGGGACGAAUAAAAUGACGGUACCUGCAGAAUAAGCCACGGCUAACUACGUGCCAGCAGCCGCCGUAAUAC